rnacentral:pre_miRNA from 1 species
CAACUACUCCCUCUGUCCCAAAUUUCUUGUCUUAGAUUUGUCUAGAUAUGGAUGUAUCUAAUACUAAAAUGUGACUUGAUACAUCCGUAUCUAGACAAAUCUAAGACAAGCAUUUUGGGACGGAGGGAGUACUUU